AUUGAACGCUGGCGGCAGGCCUAACACAUGCACGUCGAGCGGAGCGGCGGACGGGUGAGUAAUGCCUAGGACUCUGCCUGGUAGUGCGGGAUAACUUCCGGAAACGGGCGCUAAUACCGCAUACUAUCAGAUGAGUCUAUGUCGGAUUAGCUAGUUGGUGGGGUAAAGGCCUACCAAGGCGACGAUCCGUAACUGGUCUGAGAGGAUGAUCAGUCACACUGGCACUGAGACACGGUCCAGACUCCUACGGGAGGCAGCAGUGGGGAAUAUUGGACAAUGGGCGAAAGCCUGAUCCAGCCAUGCCGCGUGUGUGAAGAAGGUCUUCGGAUUGUAAAGCACUUUAAGUUGGGAGGCGUUACCAACAGAAUAAGCACCGGCUAACUCCGUGCCAGCCGCCGCGGUAAUAC
rnacentral:rRNA from 1 species